rnacentral:rRNA from 1 species
AUUGAACGCUGGCGGAAUGCUUUACACAUGCAAGUCGAACGCCCCGCAAGGGGAGUGGCAGACGGGUGAGUAACGCGUGGGAAUCUACCCAUCUCUACGGAACAACUCCGGGAAACUGGAGCUAAUACCGUAUACGCCCUACGGGGGAAAGAUUUAUCGGGGAUGGAUGAGCCCGCGUUGGAUUAGCUAGUUGGUGGGGUAAAGGCCUACCAAGGCGACGAUCCAUAGCUGGUCUGAGAGGAUGAUCAGCCACAUUGGGACUGAGACACGGCCCAAACUCCUACGGGAGGCAGCAGUGGGGAAUAUUGGACGAUGGGCGCAAGCCUGAUCCAGCCAUGCCGCGUGAGUGAUGAAGGUCUUAGGAUUGUAAAGCUCUUUCACCGAUGAAGAUAAUGACGGUAGUCGGAGAAGAAGCCCCGGCUAACUUCGUGCCAGCCGCCGCGGUAA